AUGUCCUUGGAUUCAGACGAGGAGGCGUCGGCAGUGCCCGAGGGCGGGGCGGAGAAAGCCAAGACGCCACUGCCUCCCCCGCCCCGGUGCGAGGAGUUUCGGCCCCCUCUCCCUGACCUGUCGGGCCGGGACCCCCUCUCUUCUUUCCCCGGCCGGAGUCAGAGCUCCUACCCUGUGGACUACAACGCGCUCAAGACCGCAAUCUCGCAGUACAAGGCCUCCAGGCAGGGCGGCGCGCCCACGGCCGAGGUGGACGACGGCCUGACCAGCUUCGGGGUCAACCCCCACCAGAGCUACCUGUACCCCAGCACGGCGCAGUGGAGCCCCUACCCCGCCUCCCCCGGCUACCACGUGGCCUCGGCCUACUCCUCGCCAGCCUGCUCGGCCUCGCAGGGCCCGGAAUACGCACAGCUGGGCACCCCAACCGUAAACCAGACCGGCACUCCUCCGCUCUCGUUGCCCCCUGCCCUGCCUCAGGCCAACCCCAGCACUCUGAUCCCUACGAUCCCCUCCACACAGCCCCCCCCGAACCCCGCUACCCUGGCCCCCGCCAACCCCUCUGCGCCUCCCGUGCCGCAGGUUUCUGGCGGUGCAGCGGAUGCCCUGCCUGCUCUGGAGGCUCCGCCUUGCCCUCAGCCCUCAGCACAGGCUCCGCCCCUGCCUGGCGACUCCGCUGCUGUAGCCUCAGGCGGCGCCGUGGGUCACGUGGCACCGUCUGGCUCUCAGGAUGUGCAGGGUAAAGCCAUGGAGUCUGCUCCCCUCGCGUCCCCUUCCUCUUCGUCCUCGUCGUCUCUGCCCGGAACGCUGCCGGGCUUCCCGGACCCCCCCGUGUUCCCCGCUCUCACGCCCAUCCCGCCCGUGCCGCCCAUGUUCAACUGGGCGGCGGCUCAGCACGGCUACGCGCCCGGGGUGAGCGUGGGGCAUUUCAGCACCCUCCCCCCCGCGCAGAGCGAAGCCGCAGGGAAGCCGGCCGCCCCGGGCUCGGCCGACGGACCGUGGGCGGCACCCGGCGAGGGUUCCACCCCCGGCGGUCAGGCGGAGGGGGGCACGGCCGUCGCGGCGCCCGGCCCGGCCCCUUUCCAGGAGGCGGGGUCGGAGAAGAGCGGCACGCCUGGGAAUCUGACGCCCAGCAGCCAGGGCAGCAGGACUCCAGUGAACUCAUGCGCAGAGAACAAAGGAGGCGGGCUGAGCCAGGCCCAGGCCGGGGGGGCCGCGCCCGGCAGGGGUGGAGCCGGCUGCAGAGCACUCCUCCCCCUCCCCGGAGCCGGGAUGGGCCCCGCGUGCCGAGGUGGGCUGCAGGGGCCAGCCCCACGCUGCGGCGGUGGCGGCACAUUCGGCCCCAGGGGGCCCAUGGACAUCAUGCGUGGAUGUUACAGGGGAAGGGGAGUUCCGCCAGUGCCCAUGAGAUCUAGACCGGGUCGGGGGCCGAUGCGGGGCGGCUCGGUCUGUAACUGGGGCUACCCUCCCGGGAGAGGGGCUGUCCCGGACUACUACUCGGACUACACGUACCCCUGA
ensembl:lncRNA